CAACACUAGGUCUGCAACCUGAUGGUGGCCUUGCCCAGGUCAGGGACUUGUAUUGGAUGGGAACAGCUCCAUUGCAGUAGUUGCCCCCCAACCCCCAUCUACAUAAGGGGAGCUGACAAGACUGUCCUGCCAGGUUCUAGUGCCUAUCAUUGCUAAACCCUUACAGUGAUCCUUCAAAGAGAGGACUACUAUUGUCCCCAUUUCAUAGAUGGGAAACACAAGGCACAGAGAGUGGCUGGCCUGAGAUCACGUGUCCCCGAUGUGUUCCCAAGUCUAGUUUGUGAGGUUGGCUCAGGGUUGCUCCUUGAAGGUCAGGAGUGAGUGGAAAUGCCCUGGAAUGGAAGCUGGAGGGUUGAGUCAGGGAGGACCCCAGGGGUCCAUCUGGUUAAUCUUGAGGAGUGUGUGUCUUCUCCAGCAGCUAAGCAAUGAGAGCUUUCUUGGUAUUGGAGGCAUCCCAGAUAUGCAGCCUGUGUGGAAGCUGGCAUGGGGUGCUUAGGAAGAGGGGACUAGGGUAUCAAAGCAAUUAAAGAAGCUAAUCUUCAGAAAAACAGGAGAGAAGUGUUCAUCCAUGUGCCAGCAUCUCUGCUCCAGAGAGCCAGGGUCUUAGGGCGUUAUGGUAGGGGCAGGCUGAUACCCUGAGCCUGGGACCACAAAAUGCAAAGUGGAGGGUAAGCGGGAAGGGGACCACGCACCAGCCUAUGCCCUGCUCCAGGCAGGUGCAUUCUGUGUACCGUGGCCAGGAGUGGUCUGGGCUCUCUGUUAAGGCCUUCUAGCAAGCUUUAGCUCCUGGCCUCCUGGCCCCAGCCCUGGCCAUAGAGUCACAGUGUGCUGUGAGUUGGCCGGAUCUGAGGCCCAGUCCUAGGAAGCUGCUGCAGUUUGCUCUCAGGCUGCGGGCUGAGGUCAUCUCCCCUGGCCUCAGAGUCCUGAAAACCGUAUGGGUUUUUAGACUAUGGCGGUUCAGACUCAGCACCUGCUCCCUCCCUUCCCUUUUCCCCUCUUUUGCUUUGCCUUUCCCCAACACUUCCUAGUGGAAGGGAAUUUUGGGAUUUUACAGCUGCAUUUUUCAAACAAGGUCUUACAUGCCUCUGGAUCCUGCCUGAAAGGCUCAGGCUGUGACAUCCCCCUACAUUCUUGUUCUGUCUAUUCUGGGACAAUCGCUCUGGUCUCCACACAGAAUAUUCCAGAACCUUGUCAUCAAGGCUCCUAGCAAGCCUCCCAUGAGUCUUUAGGCCUGAGAGCCCACCUUAGAUGUGUGAAAUGUAGGGGGAGGGUGUCUGAAUUGGAGAAGAGGAGGCAGUGGGCAAUUUAGGAAGGAUUUGGGAGAGAUGCUUGUUGCUAGGUGACCAGCAGGGGCCCGGUUAGGAGAGGUGGUGCCAGACUGUGGUGAGCCUGGUCUCUAUCUUUUUAACUCUAGGGUGAACCCUGUGCCUGGAGGAUCCUAGUCUGCUUUCUCUCCUCCCUCUUCCUGUGUCCCUUCAUCUAGUGUCAUCAAGACCACGUGUGCUCAGAGAUGUGACAAAGUCUCAGGCUAUUGGCAGAUUUUAAUUUUCCUUUACGGAUAUUUUCAGUUUGCGUGUGAGUGGGCAAGUUUCUGAGUAUGAAGUACCUGCAUGUGAGGACACACAAGAGUGCUCAUGUACAUGCAUGCAAAGACAGUGGUGGCUUACCUGUUGCAUGCUUUUCACAGGCCAAGUACGUCCUGCAUCCUUAACAUCGCUCAGGGGCAUCAUUUUCCUGAAUCUUUACAGCUACCCUGGGAAGUAAGCAAUUACAGCCCCCUUCCCUGUUUCUGACAGACUCUUACUAGGCGUGAAGGUUUGCAUAUGCUUGGCCCAGGAAAUGGCACUAUUAGAAGGUGUGGCCCUGUCGGAGGAAGUGUGUCACUGUGGAGGUGGGCUUGAAGGCCCUCCUCCUAGCUGCCUGGGGGAUGUUCAGACUGUUCCUGGCUUCCUUGGGGUGAAGAUGUAGAACUCAGCUCCUCCUGCACCGUGCCUGCCUGGAUGCGGUGAUGCUGCCGUGUUCCUGCCUUGAUGAUAAUGGACUGAGCCUCUGAACUUCUAAACCCGUAAGCCAGCCCCAAUUAAAUGCUGUCCUUUAUAAAACUUAGAUUGGUCAUGGUGUCUGUGCACAGCAAUAAGACCCUAACUGAGGCACUAGGUAACCCAGGCUAGAGGAGGACUAGUGUUCCUUCUGCUUCAGUACCCCAGGAUCUGGGAUUACAGGAAUGCGGCACUCUGCCUGCCUCUACACAUUCAUGCUGCAGAUUAAAAGAACAAAACGAAACAGGUUCAGAGAGCUUGAAUGUCUGAGGUGUAGGAAGUAUAAGAGUUGGGAUUUGAAUUCAGGUCUUCCGGUAUACUUAGGCACCAGGUACUAUUCUGAGGGAGGGUCCUUGGCUUGAUGAAGUUGUCUCUGGCCUCAGGAGAAAGGUGGGUACAGGGACUGGGCGUUGGUCUUGUCUCAGCAAGCAACUUGUGACUCAUUCCUUGACCCUAGGCCAACCGCUCGCCUUCUCUGGGCUUCAUGGCUCUAACCUGCUAACCUGUGAAUGUCCCUGCUGAGCAGAUCUCCUAUGGCUGUUCCUAAGAAGGGGUGCUUGUCCAUGGCCACAGCCCUACUACUGUAGAUAUGGGGGCUCCGAAAGACCCUGCCUUAGCUAAGGGCAGAAUAGCUCUGUGGACUCCUCCAGGAAAGAGCCUGGAGAAAGUCCAUAUAUUUUGUCAUUGGUGAUUCCCAGACGGAAGGAGUCAGAUCCACACUGAGGCUGGUGCCAGGAAUCCGAGAGUCAGAAUACAAGGGGAGUGCCUCUGUCUGUAUGGAGAGACACCCCUUCCCCCGCCACCCACCAUCCCCUUAGGGGGAGAGUCUGAGAUUCAGACAAGGAAACUCAUUUGCCUGCUUGACUAUCAGAGCCAGCCUCAUAGCAAGUUCCAGGCUGGCCUGGACUACAUGAGACCCUAUCUCAAAAAUAUAAAAUACAGCCAUACAAGACGGCUCUGUGGGUCUGAGUGUGUGCCAUGGAAGCCUGAUUAUCCAAGUUCCACGUUCAGAACUCACAUUUAAAACGUCACAUGCGGGGUUGGGGAUUUAGCUCAGUGGUAGAGCGCUUGCCUAGGAAGCGCAAGGCCCUGGGUUCGGUCCCCAGCUCCGAAAAAAAAAAAAAAAAAAGAAAAAACAAAAAAACAAAAAAAACAUCACAUGUGGUGGCAAGCAUCUGUAAUCCUAGUAUACGUUUAGAGAGAUGGGAGGUGGAAUUGGGAGACUCUCCCUGAAGCCUGAGCGCCUGGACUAUAACCUCCAUGUGAUAGAAAUACCAAGACACCCCACUUCAGCAAGGUAGACGGAGAGAACGGCCUCCCAGAAGUUCUCUUCUUAACCUCCACACAUGGCAUGAACAUGCCUACCAUGCUAACAAGGAUAAAUAAAUACAUACAUAGUAUUUACGACCAACAAAAAGACCUGGGGUGGCCUCACUGGGAGGAACAGCCAUCACCCAGGCCAAGCAAGCUCUGAGCAAGAGCGUUACAAGGUUUUACUGUUGACUGGGCUCAGGCUCUUCACUGCAGAUUAUGUUCCAAUGGUGCAAAAGAGCAGCUGGCUUGUGUUUGAGGAAGCUGGGCUUUGGGCCAACAGAAGAAGCACAGGCAUUUGUCUUGCGGAGAUGCACCCUGUGCUAUGCUGUGUUGUGUUUCCCUGGCCUGCAGCUUCCAGUGUCCAUCACCCAAAGACUCCUUUUCCACACUUGCUGUGCCCUAUUUUCUCCUGCACCAGUGCCCUGCACGCAUCUCUUUCUGCCAUGGACAAUCAGGCCUCCAGCCAGGCUUUGGGGCUUAGCUUCAGCUGCAGCAGGAGAGAUCGUGGUUGGAUCUCUGAAAGUACUUCCAGACAACUGGAGGCUCCGAGAUGGAAGGAGAUGGACAGGACCACAGAGUUAGCAGUCCGGCUCAGGGAAGGGGUAUGCCUUUUCUGGCAGUGUCCUGACACAGUGCUGGGGUGAGGGAUCUCACUCUGUCCAAGUCCCACAUCCUAAUGCAGGGCUUAGAAACCCACAGCUCCUCCCCAGAUCUGAGUUCUCUCUUGACAUCAUUUAAAUGGAUUUCUCUCUGCCUCAGGGUGAGGUUGAGGAUCAUGGAGAUAAUCCGGCAAAGAAAUUCUACACAGCCCACACCCUCUCCUGGUGCUGAAGAGAUUUCAGCCGCUGAGCCCAGAGACCUCCUCCUCCGGCUGCCUGUUGGGGGCAGCCUUGCCCCACGCACCCUCUGCAGAUCCUCUGGUGGAGACCACUGGCUCCCAGGGUUAGGGGGGGCUCUAGCAGGUGGAGGGAGAAAGGCAGGGUCCCUUGCUCCCUUCCCAAGUCACACAGGAUGGAAGAAGGUCUUGACCUUUAGAGCUCAGGGUGCUCUGGGUGUUGGGCAUGUGACUAAGUAUCUGGAGAUCCUGAGGUCCAGCUUUGUGCCCCCGGAAAAGGCUCUUUUCUAGACCUCAGAGCUUCUGGUGCCUGCCUACAGCCACAUUAGGCUUCUCCCAGGUAUGGCCUUGGAAGCAGAUGGCUGCAGCAGAUGGCUGCCUGGGUGGGGAGAGAGGAAAGUGCUACCCUAGGACACACAGGGCAGGGUGUCAGCUCACUGCCCAGUUACUAGUGCAAGAGGGGCGUGGGAUCUGGGGGAGGCAAGGCAGGUGGCAGCCAGAGAGUAAGGUGUAGAGGGUGGGGAGGUUGGGAUCUAAGCAAUGAGGAAGCAGAAUUAGCCAACAUGGCUGCAACCGGCUCAGCUCACUGGUAAUUUAGUUACCCUCUCUGUGCCUUAAUUUCCUCAGUUAUAGAGUCAGGGACAUCAUUCACACUUAGAGGGCCAUUUAAAGGUGAGGGAAGGACCAUAAACUCUCACAGUGGUGCUGCUGAUGUCAGCAGAAUUGUGACCAGUGUCACUGUUCCUUAUACCUGCACACCAUGGGCUCCUUACAGAGCUCUCCUUGGAUGGGCACAUAGAAACUUCAGACAUGGAGGCUAAGGUAUCAUACGGAAUUGCUCAGAACCCUAGCAUCCAUUAUGCACUUAAGAAUGUCUAUAUGUAUGCUUUUUCAAAAAAACAUUUUAUGUGUGAGUGCUUUGUCUGUAUGUGUACCGCGUGCAUGCCUGAUGUCUGAGGAAGUCAGAAGGCAUUGGAUGCCCUGAACCUGGGACUUCAGAUGGUUGUGAACCGUCAUGUAGGUACUAGGAAUUGAACUCUCGUCUUCUGCAGGAGCAACAAGUGCCCUUCAAUUCUAGGCACUCUCUCCAGGCCCCUGCAUGCAUGCUUUCUGAGAUAUAGCCUUAUCUAAGGCUGACCUCAAACUUGUAGCACGCUUCUGCUCUACGUCCAAGUGCUGGGCCUCAUAAGCCUGUGCCAUUACACUGAGUCCUGUCCCCCCUAAGUUCUCUCCGAGGUCCUGAGUACUCACUUGUCUCGGGUAGGUGCCUCUAGCCUCCAGGGCUGAACCAGAGAAGACGGCCCCCUCCUCAUUCCUUUUCUCCCUUCUCCUUGCCUCUUCUUCUUCCUCUCUCCUCCUACAGUCUUCUUCCCGUUUCUUUUCUCUUUAUUCUCCUUUCUUCCCUUCCCAUCAUCCUCUUCCUUGUUCUCUUUGUUCCCUGUCCACAGUGAGGACACAAGGCUGCCUUGUGGAGCCUGGUGGGAGCUUCAGGGUUUCCAAGCUCCAGAUCCCCGUCUUUACAUUAGUGUCUGUGUGUGUCUGGGAACCGGUGUAGAUAAAUCACUUAACUGUUUGGUGAGGACUAGCCUCUCUUGCUGGGAAACUGAUAUCCCCGGGAUAUCCAGUCUCUAAUGCUUUGGGGAGGGGUCAGUCCAGAUGUGAUAGAUCACGAGUGAAACUUUAGGUUUCCGCUGAGCCUCUGAACCUUUCUGUCCUCACACCAAAUGCCCUGUGAGGUCCUGUGAUGCCGUGUGAGGUCCCUAGGGCCAACAGAUAGCUUCAGGAGGAUUCCAGCCAUGGUCCAGAGAUAGCCAGAUCUCUCUCUUUCUCUCUCUCUCUCUCUCUCUCUCACACACACACACACACACACACACACACACACACACACACACACACAUUUCCCUUAGUCACUGUGUUACCUUGGUCAGCUCAAUUAACCCCUCUGAUCUUUCAUCCCCCUCACCUGAAAGCAGUGCUAAUGGUGUCCCCUGUGACCUGGCUAUUGUGAGGAGUAAAUAGGAUAAUGAGAGUUAAGUGCUGAGCCCAGCACCCAUCACUGCUGGAUGCACCCAGCUAGAUGCUGGCCCUACGCUGCUGGUGGGCUAUGCCCUGAGACUCAGGCUCUCAUCUGCACACUGCCCGUGAGCCAGGGGAGAUCUGCAGAGGUUUGUCUGCCACACUCUCUGUCUAACCUUUACUAAGUUCCUCUGUGCUGAUAGCACCAAGCUACGUGAGACCCCAUGGUUUCUCCCAGGGACCACGGUUCAUUCACAGGGAGGAGUGCUCCUGAUUGAAGAAUGAUGGACUCCUGGCGUGUGAAUGAGUGGCUUUUCAGAGGAGGUGACUCAGACACUAUGAAUCAAGGCAACAUAAGAUCCAGGGCAAGGUAGGUGGAGUGCUUUCUCUGACUACAAAAAAGCAUUCACACAACUGGAGGGAGAGCCUACGUCGUGCCUCUAGUUUCCUGGAACACAGACAUGGUCCAACUGAGACUGAGGGGCAAGUCUCAGGUGGAGGAUGAGGAGUUAGGCAGAGCUAUUCCUGAAGGGCAGUGGGGAGCCAGCUUUGAAAAUGGGACUGGGACUUGGUGGUGGCUCUGCUUGUGGCAUGAAAGUUACCUAUAUAAAUGAAGACAAGAGGCAGACCAAGGAGGGGUAAAUGGGGUACCAGAUCCACUCAACCUCUCCCUUUGCUUAAGUAGAGCUAUGGCUGAGUGCCCAGAAGGCCAGGCAAUGCUAAAGGUAUGGUCUUUUCUCACCAGCAUCUGGGUCCCUGACUUCCUCUCAGCAGGGGCUUUGGGUCAGGACUGAGCCAUGUGUUGAGGGAGGACAAGACAGCUUCCAGUCUAAGCAAGCCUAAGCUGAGACUCUCAUCUGCUUGGUUUGUGACAAUGAUUCUUCUCACCCCAAUGGCCUGCUUGUACAUAGAUUCCUAGCAGAGUAAGACUUUGAGCUACUGGGGACACCAAUAUUUCAUUGUCCACAGAUAGGGUCAUCUAUCUAGAGUUGUGUCUGUUGGAAACAGAUGCUAGAGAAGGUGCGCCCCCAAGAGAGAUGUCAUCAUGGGAACUGAAGAGGCCUGGCCUUGGGUCUGGCUGAUGCUCAAUGCCUAGGGGCCAUGGAGGCAGUUGUUGUGGGAUACAUGUAUGGUUGGUCAUCAAACCCUUCCCAACCCAAUGGCAUCGGUGGCCAAUGUGUCCCUGGAGAGAAAUACUGUGUGUGCACGUGUGUAUGUGCAUAUAUGUGCAUGUGUUUGAGUAAGUGUGUUUUUGUGUGUGUGCCUAUGUUUGUAGUACAAGUGUUGAUCUGCCCUCUUAAGUCUUUGAGACCAGGCAGUGCUAUAUUGGACCCCUAGUUCUGGCAUCUGGUCAUGUUGUUUCCACUCUCCUCAAGAGGAGGAUGCCCAGUCUUCGUACCUCCCACAAAGGAGGUGCUUGAAUACUUGGUUUAAGCAAUGCUACAUUUCAACCUUUAAAGUGCUCAUUUAGUGAUUUUUAUUUUUGUCAUUGCCGAUCUGUGGGGGGUCUGGAGAGAAGAGAGACUCCUGCAGAGCAACAAGUGAGUGACAACCCAGGCGUUCAAUGGUGAGAUACCCCCGGGGCUCCUAGAAACAGGAGCAAGUUUCAUGAUGCUCCCAGUGAGGCUGGCACUAUCCGAGGCAGAGGAUGUUAAUGUCGUUCACACCCAUGCUGGUGAAGAAAGGACUUGCUGAUACCUUCUUCUUCAUGAGGAGAGACUUGACCCAGAUCUGAGGGCAAGUGGGGGGCAACCAGAUUGAGUCUUCAGCAAUGAUGAGAACAGUUCAAUACCUGUCUUGUGUUUACAACUUUCUUUUUGUCUUUUCCCCUAGACUUAGUGAUGUGCUAGCCCCAACAUAUUCUGGUGGCCUUGAUGUGUAGGAGCCUGGGACCCGCAAUGGGGCAGGCACCACAGGAUUUCCAUUGCUCAAACCCCAAGAAUGGUCUCUACAGGAGGCUCGAAAAGCCUAGGUGGGCAGAGAGGGUUAAGUGCUGUGUGCUUCUCUUGUGGUACCCACAGACCUCUCAGUCUUCUCCCUCUCCUUUGCCUCAGCCAAUAUAAGAUCAAAGGCUGUAAAUUAUUCAUUCACAGUUGAGUGGAGUACAUUUCAAAGUCAAAGCUGCUGGGUAUUUCUUCCUAGAACUGCCAAGGGCGAAGACCCACAUUUUCAGGUAUAUCAGCUCCAUUCAAUGGUAGCCUGAAGGCUUAGAGUCUGUCCUACCUCAGCUCUGGCUACUGCCAGUCUUUCUCGCUUCUUCCCCAACCUUUCCUUGCCCUGAUUCUACACACCCAGACCUGCCCUGAUGGAAGCCAAUAUUAGAUUUCCUCCAAGCAGCAUAUCUGAGACUCCUCUGCCCUGUGGAGGCGGGAGGAUAAGCUACAGGUUGGAAAACAGGGCAAGCCGAAAUGCCAGUCACUACACAAUGGUUUUGUGUUGUCCCACACAGCAGGCAUUCUUCUCAGCACCUUCUGGGGGGUGACCUUCUUAGUCCCUUCCAUAACACUAUGUGGUAGGUACCAAUUCCAUGCUGAUUGGACAGAAAAAAGUCCUGAUCUAGGAGGAAGCAAAGGACGCAGCUUGGAAGAGGUGGAGCUGGGACCCCGUGUGAACUGAUGCUGGAGACAGUGCCAUGUGUCCCGAAGUGAAAGCGCAUCCAUCUAUCCUUAUACCCACCCCAGGUACAGAGAAGGGAACUGUGGUUUUGAGAACCUAAGUGACUCAUUUGUUAUCACUUAGCUAAGUGACACAGGAUCAGAAUGCAAGCCACACUGACUAGAAGGCCAGAUUGGUUUGCUUUAACCAUAACUCUCUGGAGACCAAAGGACAGAAUGAUACUUUCCACAUCCUUGGAGGAGAGGAAUGUGGAGAGACCUGCACAAGGUCCAGACAGCUCACCCUGUGUGUUCUGGGUUGGGGUGGGGUGCAAAGCACACUGGUUGUCCUUGGGAUUCACUGAAAAUGAACUUCUACACGUGUGUCUGGGGCACGGAUUAAAUCUAAAGCCUUCGCCAUUUCAAGACUUGGAAGAAUCAACAAAGGAUGAAAACAAAUGUGUGUUCUCCCAGCCUUUGCUUACUAGAGAGCUUAUCUCCUAGGAGCAGGCUAAUCACGGCACGCAGCGCCCAUGUGGGGCUAAUUCGCUUUGUUGUAAGUUUUAUUUGAUUACAACAGCAAAAGUCUGUUCGUGACUUAGGGUGCAGCUGUAUGGCUGCUUGAUCGCAAACAAACAAACAAACAACAAAAAAAUAGAAGCAGAGGAACCGGCAGGGACCAGGAGCCUCAGAUAAUGAGGCUGGUGCUUAAGAGUAGGUUAAUCAGCAGAGGCCCUGCGCUGGGGUCCUUAGUAUACAGAGGCCAUGCUGUCUUAACGGCUCUCAUGGUGGCCUGGGGCUUCCUUCUUGCAGCUGUAUUCCAUCAAGAUUUGGGCUGUUCAUGGGGAUGAGGAUGAAGGGGAACAGGAGAAUAGGAGGGGCUGCUGAGUGUGACUCUUGACGACUGGUGGCGCAUGCUUCCUUUCCUCAUGCAUGCCCUCAAACACAUGUGUGUGUGUGUGUGUGUGUGUGUGUGUGUGUGUGUGUGUGUGUGUGUGUGUGUGUGUGUGAGAGAGAGUUGCUUGGGAUGGACCCCAGGCCUUGCUCGCUUGCACAUGCUAGGCAAGCACUCUGCUUCUAUGCUAGCUAGUUUGAUGUCAAUGCAGCACAAAUGGAAGUCAUCCGACAGAGGGAACCUCAGUUAAGAAACGCAUCCCUAAGAUCAUCAACGCUGCAGCUUAUUUUCUUAGUGACUGAUGGGGGAGAGACCAGUCCGUUGUUUGUUUUGAGACAGGGUUUCUCUGUGUAGCCCUGGCUGUCCUGGAACUCACUUUGUAGACCAAGCUGGCUUCUAACUCAGGGAUCCUCCUGCCUCUGCCUCUGCCUCUGCCUCUGCCUCUGCCUCUGCCUCUGCCUCUGCCUCUGCCUCUGCCUCUGCCUCUGCCUCUGCCUCUGCCUCUGCCUCUGCCUCUGCCUCUGCCUCUGCCUCUGCCUCUGCCACUGCCUCUGCCUCUGCCUCUGCCUCUGCCACUGCCUCUGCCUCUGCCUCUGCCACUGCCUCUGCCUCUGCCUCUGCCUCUGCCUCUGCCUCUGCCUCUGCCUCUGCCUCUGCCUCUGCCUCUGCCUCUGCCUCUGCCUCUGCCUCUGCCUCCUGAGUGCUGGAAUUAAAGGCAUGUGUUACCACUAGCUGACUUGGCCAAUCUUAUUUUGUUUGCUUACUCUGCCUCUGUCUCUCUGUCUCUGUCUGCUCUGUCUCUGUCUCUGUCUGUCUCUGUCUCUGUCUCUGUCUCUGUCUCUCUCUGUCUCUGUCUCUGUCUCUCUCUCUGUCUCUCUCUCUGUCUCUCUCUCUCUCUCUCUCUCUCUCUCUCUCUCUCUCUCCCUCUGUUAUUUCUAUAUAUUCUUGGCUGGCUGAGAACUUGCUUUUUUGCCCAGAUUGGCCACCAACUCACGACAAUCCUCUCUGGUGCUGGGAUCACAGACAUGUACCUUUACGUCUGGUUAAUGAGGGAUUUUGGAGGUCAGUUCUACAAGCACUGUGCCAAGUGUCUACAUAGCAGCCUUAACAAGCAAGCAUUUGACUUCAUUUUACAGAUGAGGAAACAGGUCUGGUAGUAGUGAGGACCAGGACUCUACACUGUACUCAUUGGGGGCCUGUGUCUUUCUGGCCAGGCUGGCUGCAGUAGCGUGUUUCAGUGGGGUUUAGUUACGGCAGGAGAGACUCAUGCUGACCCAGGCUGUUCCACUAGCUUCUUUGGGGGCUUCCUAGGGGGAAGAAAGCAGAAUAGACAGGGGGUGGGGGUAAGGAGGGGACUUGUCCCAGACUGUACAACAUCAAAGAAGUGACUGGAUACCUCUAAGUCUGCCAAGUGUUUUCCUGACCUUCCUCCUAUGGUCAUCGUGAGUAACUGCCAUCUGUGAGGGGCUGUCCAGCUGUUUACCCAUGAGGUAGUAGUGAGCAGGACAGAAGAAACCCUCUCUGGAGGAGACGUGUAUGUGUGUGUGUGUGUGUGUGUGUGUGUGUGUGUAUCUAUGCACAUGCAUAUGUGUGCACACAUGCAUGUAUGUGUGCAGUAUUGGGAAUCAAGUGUAGGUCAUUGUACAUGCUAUAUAAGUGCUUUGCUACUGACUUAUAUCACCAGCAAUUUAAAAAAAAACAAAUUAUUUUGAGACAGCAUCUCCUUAAAUCCCCAAGGCUGACCUUGAACCCACUUUAGAGCCCAGGCUAGCCUUUUGCUUCUCACCUUCCAGCCUUAGCCUCCUAAAUCAUCAGGAUUACAGGCUGUGCUGCUAGGUCUGGCUAACGGAAGGGUUUUCAUCUUUCAGCUGUCUGUUCUUCCUGUCUCUCCAAACCUCUCUAGAGCCUCAGCUUUGCCCAGGCGUGACUUACUCAUAAGGAGACUGAGGACUCAGGACAGGGGCAGGAUUCUAAUGAGGGGCACCUGGAAAUCACAGCUCAACCCUCAUCAACCACAUCACACCACACACACACACACACACACGCACACACACACACACACAGAGGCACACACAGGCACACACACAGGCACACACACACACACAAAGGCAUACACACACACAGGCACACACACACACAGAGGCACACACAGGCACACACACAGGCACACACACACACAAAGGCAUACACACACACAGGCACACACACACACAGGCACACACAGGCACACACACAGGCACACACACACAAAGGCAUACACACACACAGGCACACACACACAAAGGCAUACACACACACAGGCACACACACACACACACAGUGUAUGGGGUGAGCAUUCAUUGUCAGGAAGUGACACCUCACAGCAGUUAACCACACUCACCUGUGCAUGGGGCAGGUGCGUGUGUCUGCUGGUGAGAGGUAUUUUAUUCACUGGUCCCUCCUGCCCCCAGGAGUGAAUCUAUUCUCUGCCAGCUUAGACACCUGGGUCUUACCAGAACUCCACUCCACUCUUCCCCUUGACAGAGAAAGAAGGGCUGUGGUUGGCAAUAGGCAGGAACAUUUUUGGAUGGUUUUGUGUGGAUUGAUGUUUUUGACAUAAAAAGGGGGGGUUGGGAUUAUGGCUUAGUGAGAGGUUGUGAGUCUCAGUGACAGGCGGGUAGAGGGAACAAGGGAGCGGUGUACAGAAAGAAGUCUUCCUUUUUCAGCGGGGGAUGUUGGAUGCUGCAGGGGCUCCCUCCAUCCCCGUGGUUUUUACUGGCUCAGAUGCAGCUGGGGACUUAGUCAUCAACUUCACACUAGAAGGUGAGGAGCAGGUGCCAGGAUGAGGAAGGACUCCUCAUUUCACACAGAUAGGGAGUAUCGUGAGGUGACCUUCUCUCCUGGAGGAUAGGCUUAGGAUGUCCCCACAAGGGUCUGGGCAACUCCUGGCUGGACAAAUUUCAAAGUGCUGCAGACGUGCUGUGAGCCCUGAACAUUCCUUUUGUUUUUCUGCACUGAGGAAUUUAGUCUGCAGGGCCAAAUGAAGCUCCACAGAUUGACCACAACAGUGGCUGCAUGGCAAGGUCAUUGAUGUUUUAUUGCAAUUUUUAAAAAGGGUUGAAUCUGAGACUUCACUUUAGUUUGCUUGUUUUUUAUUUGUUUGUUUGUGUGUUUAUUUUACAAUGGGGUCUUAACAUAGAGCAGGCUGGCUUAAAUCUCAUUUGUAGGAUGACUUUGAACAUCCUUAUCCUUCUGCCUUGACUUCUCAAGUGCUAGGAUUCUAGGUGUGCACCAUCAUACUGGGUUCAUGGGUCCUGGGAAUGGAACCCCAGGCUUUGUGUAUGUUGAGCAGUUUGCUCUAACUCGCUACCUGUUAAGUCCCUAGCCCUUCCUUCUAGUCCUCUUGUUCUGUGGAAUGGUACCCUUUGGAUUUGAAGAAAUGUGGGGGCUCAUGUCCUAGGAGCAGACUGUGCUUGGUGGGCAACCCCUACAGAUUAUACCUCUUUGGUAGCAGCUUACUAUGGGUCCUUCAGACUUGGUCAGUGGCCUUCCAGAAAUUUCCGUUCAGACUUGUCCUCUCUUCUGAAAUUGCAUGCCCCCACCCCCAAAUUUUGGUGGCCCUUCUGUCAUUUGUCUCAGCCUCUAGAGCUUCUCCUUUGGACCAAAGGGACCUCAGCUUGGUGGCUCACUAAAGCACUGAAAAUUUCAUGGAUAAUUCAGGAACACAAAUCAAACAGGAGUCUAGAAGCUCUGAAUUUAUGAAGAAAAAUGAGUCAAACUUGGUGAUUUAUGAGCAGCUCAGAAUAGCAGCAUAGGGAAGUGCUGGGGCUGGGGAAGAUUGGAGGGCUGGUCUGCAGGGCUGGGGGCACCUGUGGGAGGAACUAAGAGAGAGGGACUGGACAGAGCAUAGGGACUUCAUUCCUUAGUACCCAGACUGUGCAAGUUCUGUCUUGGUUACCUCGGGAAGGUGGGGGCCAAAUGAGAGGCAAAACCCCCUCAGACCUCAGGGAUGGAGGACUUAGCCUAGAGAUCUGAAUUUGGCCCUGGGCCUUGGCUGGGUACUAAGAGGAUGGAGGUAGGAAUGGAGGAAGGGGAUAUGCUCUAGCCUUGUAGGACACUAGGUCAGAGUCCAGAGGCCUAGUUGGACUUCUAGAACAGUACUGGGAGGUACACAGAGACCUUCUUCAUGCGUGUGUGUGUGUGUGUGUGUAUGUGUGUGUGUGUGUGAGAGAGAGAGAGAGAGAGAGAGAGAGAGAGAGAGAGAGACUCAGCUGUGCAAGAAGCUUGCUUUGCCCCUUCUCAGUGAAUGAUGGUCCUCCACAGGAGUCUAACCCCAAGGACUCAGAGGAACACAGAGGUCAUAUCCAAGAGAAAGGUCUUAAAGGCUUAGCAUCUGGCUGGGUGGGAGAUCUGACACCUUCCCUCUUAUAUUAACCAACAAAGGCCAGUUCCAGUCAAUUGGCUCCUCUGACCACAGAGUAGAGUGACAGUGGAACAAGUCAUGUCCUCUUGUAGGGUCUCGUUUUCUUCAUCUGUAAAAUGGGAUGAACGUUCCCUUCCUGUAGCCCUCCUUAUAGUUCACAAACAGAAUAUUGGUAGAAAUGAAACAAAAAGCAUGAAUCUGUCCUUGGAGUCUUCUGGUUGCUGUGUUAAAGGGGGUGUUUUUUGUCCUUUUAUGGUUUCCUGAGGCUCGUGGUCUUCUGAGGGCCCUGAUUAGAUAGUCAUGUGUCACCAUACCUGGUCAGUGGAGUUCUCUUUUAUGAAACUUCCACAAGCUCUGCCAGGAGACUCUGCAUUAAACAUGCACCCAGCCCCCAAAUCUUUCUUUUCUUAUGAGAAUCAACUCCUGUUACUCCAUGCUGGGCAUUUGAGCCCCAAUGCCAGAAGUGAUGGAGUCAUAGCAAAUCUUAGCUUGAUUUCCCAGCUGAGGGCAGAGCCUGUAGUGUGAGGAUGUGGAAGAGGUGGGACUAUAUUAGCCAGCCAUUGAGCUAAAUAAGUGCUAGGUAGGUGUUGGGGUCCAGCAUAGUACUCCCACCUCACGUGGUGCCUUGGUCCACUGAGCAGGGGAAACUGUGAGCCUAGAGGAGCUCAUCUGUGGAGGUGGAACUGGGGCAGGACUGGGGUUUUCUGUGCUCGGAGGACGCCUUCCCACCAAACGGCUUCUUAUUUCACAUCCGGUUUUGUGAGCAUUGAAGCUACAAUGUCACUCCACCACUGGUGUCUUGGAUGGUCUCUUUCUUAAUGCCACAUCUUCCUGUUUCUUCACAUGUCUAGCAAUUUUAGACUGUACUGUACGUGCCGUAUUGAAGGGACUCUGGGUUCUGUUAUAUUCCUCUGAGGGACUGUCUUAGUUAUAGUCUUAUUGAUGUGAAGAGACACCAUGACCAAGGCAACUCUUGGAAAGGACAACACUUAAUUGGGGCUGGCUUACAGUUUCAGAGGUUCAGUCCAUCAUCAUCAUGGCGGGAAGCACGGCAACAUCCAGGCAGACAGGAUGCUGAGAGUUCUGCAUUUUAUCCAACUGCAGUCAGGCCUCUUCUGCUCUUUACCAGGACUCCACACUUUCCUCAGCCAUCUGCCUAACCCAUGUUUUUUCUCAAAGAAGAACUCCACUAUCCUGCAGCUUCCUGGCCAGAGACUUGGGGUCAGAUCUUCCCCUUGGUUUCCAACACAUGCCACCAGGUCUGGGGUAAGGGGGAGAGCAGAAGAGCACUGUAGCUCUGAAUGCAGUGCAGAAGCAUCUGCCCCAGGGCCACAGCCAACAAAGGGCUUCUGAGCCAUGCAGCUGGGUCUGCGAGCCUUAAACAGCCACUGAUUUUCCAGGCUUAGUGUGGAAAUGAGGACAUAAAGUGCCUCAUUAAUACCUUUUAAAUGUUCAUUCCACAUUGAAAAGAUCACAUAUUGGAUACAUCAGGUUAAAUAAAAUAUCUUUAAAAAUUAAUCUCACCCACACUUGUUUUAACUUUUCGAGAUGGGGGUAGGGAAUGUAAGAUUUGCACAUAAUGUCUCUUGGUUAACACCCACAAGUGAGCAUUGAUUUUGAUCUAGCCUUCCCGGGUCGACAGCCUGGAGUCAGUCAAUUAAUGGCCUCAGUUUCCCCAUCUGUAAAACAAGGAUGGGUAUUAGAAUCCUGUCCCCAGGCUUGUGACAAAAAUUAGUCCAGUUCACGCUGUGGGCUCUGCAGAUAGGAAGCCUAAUAUAAAUAUUAACCGUAGCUCACUCUGAUUAGUCACACAAUUAAUAUUUGUUGAACGGAGCAUUGAAUUUCUAAAUCCUAACCACCUCACCCCACCCCAUUCCCGCUGUAAGCAUUUAUCUGUCACCCAGCAUUUAUUCAGCAAAUAUUUAUUGAGACACUACAGCGCACCAGGUUCUGUGAUUGACACCACAGGCAAAGAGGAAUAUUUCAUCAAUCAAUUAAUGGGUUCCGAGGAUCCUAGCUGAGCUCAGCUUUGGUGCCGGGGAUGGCUCUAAUCGCGGGUCUGCACAGGCUACACACUCGCCUUGGGAUGGGAUUUCAAGAUUUGGAGCCGAGAGAGCCGGGUCACAGAAGUUAACCUGAAAUGCACGGACACAUCAAUAUCAGUCGAGACGGCUGUUUGUUCCUAAGCAGACAAGCCAGCUGGUUGAUUGAAUUUUUCACUCAUCAUUAGGGUGCCGAACAGAAAUCUAGGAAACAGAGCCCUCCAGCCAGCAGCCUGGGCAUCCCUGAUUUCCCAGACAGCAGUACCCCCUAGGCCUUCCUGCCAGACUCUUACACCCAGCCUUCAUGGCUGGCAGUUUAGUGCACAGCUGGUAAGUUAAAAGCAGUUUAGUGAUAAUUCCACCUCACACUGAAGACUUCCAGGGACUGUUAAUGAAUUUAAAUGCGGGGGAUUUUCUCUGAUGCCUCAUUGCAUAUGCUCCUCACAUUAAGAUGCUAAUGAGGGCUCUAGUGGAUGGAGGCACUGGAGCUGGACUAGGGACGGUGGCCUGGAAAGGGUUGCUGGCUGGUCAAAGCUUUUCUAACUCCUUAUCAGUGCUGGAUCAGUGACCUCUCCAGUGAGUUAACUGGCCCUAACCUCCUCAGGGUUGGGGGAUGCAGUCAGCCGGGACUGAGUCAAUGCAGUGCCUGGAGCUGAGGCUAAUGACAGCAAUCCUAGUGAGCAAACGGGAGUUGCUGUGAGAUUCCAACUAAGGCCUGGGACUCCAUCCAAGAAGCUGUGCCUUACGGACCCAGAUGGAUUGUGGGUGAAGCUCAGACUUCAAGUCUGAGUUCUGGAAGACUCUAAACUUUCAAGAAAACACCGAAUAUCACCAGGAUAAAAGAUUGCCCAAGAGGCAGUUUGGCACAGAGUGACAAGGUACUCGGACACCGGGCAACUGGCUGAGAUGACAAUCAGGCUGCAGGACAUCGGAAGAGGUAGCUGGCCUGGAAUCCCCAUGAGGAUGGGAGGAUGGAGCGUGGCUUCUUUUCUUUGUGAAGACAAAAGAAAGAGACAUAAGAUAUUAAGGUUGUAGAAAAAGAAGUUGUAAUGCUGAUAUUUUGGGAGGUGGGGCCAGGCAUCCUGGUUUGAACCUUACAUCUGCCACCAAGAAACUAUGGGACCUCUGGCAAUGAGAUACUGAGUUCUUUUCUGCCUCAGUUUGCCCAUCUGUUAAAUGGUGAUACAAAUAGUUUGCCCAGUUAAUCCUUUGGAUUAGGGAUGAAAGCUGCUGAUCUUCCCCAGUUUCUGGCUCUGCUUAUGGAGAAAAAUCCCAGAGAGGAGGUAAGCCGAAAGGUGGGCUCCAUGCCAAUGAGUGCUGAGGAAGGGGCUCUGAUAAUGAAGCUUCCUUUCUGGCGACUAGCACUACACACAGUGGGGAGAAUCUGCUGGCACCCCCCCUGGAAACCACUUUCCCAGGUUUCCUGAAAAUCCAUUGACAAUUUUUGUAAAUUUGUUUAAGGAUUAAAUUAAUAAGUCUCUUCUCCUUGGCUGCCAUCAACGCACAGAACCCUGUGGUUCUGUGCUCCCACAAGCAGCUUCUGAGGCUGCAUGAGGAAGAAGAGAGGCCGCUUCAGAACCUUGCUCCUCCAGGGGUACCCAGGAUUAACCUGGGGGGCCUCCUGCUGUGUGGGUACAUUGCCCUGCUCAGUACUCACUGUGAAGGGCUGGCACCCUGGCUAGCAGCCAUGUGAGAGCUGACUUUGUUCUUCUUCCUCCUCAGAGCAGGGCUCUGGGUCUCCCUGUUUACACAGAAAGCUCCUUCUAUGGCGGGUUAAUAUCUCCCCCAGGGAUGCUUUUGGGAGUUCCUCCCACAUUUCCAGGCAGAGAUUUGAUAGGUUUGAUAGGUACAUUCUGAGACCACUCUUUUCUGGAGGCCUCUGUGGAUGACAACUGCUCCUGGUCAAUUCAGGAGGCAGAAUGAAGCCCGAAGGCUGACUGGCCUUUCUUAGUCCCCUUAGUACUGGCAGAUCCCAGAGCGGUACAGGUUGGUGGGACUAGAAGGAAUGGAGGUAGAAAGGUUGUCUAAACUUAAUAGUAACCUCUUACUUCACAGACGCCAUGCCAUCUUCAGCCCUCCGUGGUGGGUGUGAAUGGGGUUCAACGUCUUUUGGGGUCCCACUAGCCACUUCUCCAGAGCUACCAAAGCCUUGGCUGUCUUGAGAGCCCCGACGUUCCCCUACUCCCUUUCCCAUCUUCCUCAGCCUGGCUCAGGAAACCCAGGUGCUGCAGUUCAGUGGACUGGGCUGAAACAGGGCUGAGGAGACCUCCUUUGCAGUCCCCUGCACAGGCCGAGAGCACACCAUGGUUCCCAGGGAAGUUCAUCUUCUCCGUCUUAUGCCUUUUUUGCCUCCUACCAGCAGGUGAACUUCUUGCAGAGUGAUUGAAGCUGGAGGAAUGGCUGGCUGCAUCCAUCCCGAAGCCGUGUGUGCAGAGCCUCUGAUUAAGGGCCAGAGGGUUAACUCCUCACCAUUCAGCAUGUGGGCAGGCAGGUUCUCACCAUGCAGCCCUGGAACGUGCUAGGUGAGUUAAGCUGGCCUCAAACUUGCAUCCAUCCUCCUGCCUCUGCUUAACGAAUGCUGUGGUUAGAGGCAUGCCCAUCGUGACUGGUUCUGUUACAUGAUCGUGUAUGUUGCUUCGCAAAGGAGCAAAGGGCAAAUGGAUUUCAAUGAUGAAGACGAUGUAGCUGAAAAGUAGGUCACCUCCUUUGUGAACCUCUGUAGACCAAAUGCUACAUGAAGGCUGUUGUAGGCUCUGUCAGUUAACGAGGUAUGAACAUGGUGGGACCGAGAGAGAGUGAGACAGACUUUCUCAGGAGGAGGCACAGCAAACAGGAAGGCAGGAUAUCCCAGCCUCCAUAGUGAGGACAUGUGAGGUAGAAUGCUGUACGCUCCUGUCCUCCGCCCACUGGUGCUGGCAGCACUCUUCCCUUCCUAGAUGUGACAUCCAGAUGUGUCUCUAGAUAUUUCCUAGGUCUCCUGGGGGACAGAAUGAUCCCCAGUGGAGAUGGCGGUUGUAAACCAGUAUGACUAUAUUAGGGACUGUUAGUACCAUGAGUAAUAUAACUUGGGUGGGUAUAUGCUUGGCAAGGGUAGGUGGCAAGAGCGUGUUUGAGGAAGUGGCUCUGGAGACAAGGCCUGGACACUGGACAGCCAUGCAUCGAUGAGGCAGAAGGAAAGCUUCCUUCCUUCCAAUCCUCUGUCUCUUCUGAGGGAAACCCUCCACAUGAUGUGAGGUAGGAGCACUUAUCAAAACCACUUCACAAAUGAGGAAACUGAGGCACAGGGAAAGCAGCAAAAGUAGAGGCCUUGAGGUUGGCCAGAUGAAGGUCAAUGUGGCAGAACAGAGCAUAGUAGAUGUAGAGGGUGGGGAAAGAGGCAUGGGGGGUGGAGCAGGUCAUACCGGUCUUGUAGUUGUAUGUACUGAACUCUGCGUGGGUGUCAGUCAUCCCCGUCUCAGGAAACCACAGGGAGCUGAAGAGAGCUACCUGGUGCGGCUGGGGUCAAGCCUUGCUUCUGAGGAAGGCGGCUCACUUCCUUAGCAGGUUGAUUCCAGGAUAUAAGGUUUGACUCCCUGUCUGGGACAACUGUGAGAGGCCGCCCGUUAUGUAUCUCCUGUGGGCUCUGCUAGGCUGUGGUGGUACCAGCAAUGCUGGUCCCACUUCCUUCCUUCCCCACUGGUAGGUCCUGGGAACACAACUGAAUAAACUUACCACACACUGUCAUAGGUAGAGUCUUUUCAGGGAACCUGAUUAGUGGCAUAACAGUGUGCUAUUUGGCUAUAUUUUGGUUGCAGUGGGAAGCCACUGACCUAUGGAAGUCAUGCAUGAUUCAGGUCAGUACAUUAAGUGAGGAAAGACCAUAUGAGCUCUGCAGCCUCCGGAAAUGGGGUUCACACGGAAGGUUGGAACUAGUCACCCCGAGACUUAGGGACCAGGCAGAGGAACUCAGAAAGGAGCUGGAGAAGUGGCUUUGAGGAAGAAGGAGACCCUGGAAGGGAGCAGCCAUUGAGGUGAGAAGCAGGUUGUCCUAGGGUGGAGAGACUUUUAGCUGAGGUCAGGGUAAAAGGCUGAGUCAUCACACAAUGGUUAAGUGGGGAUGUGGUCUUGCCUCUUGGAUAUCCACCUCCUUCUUCGGGUAGGUAUCCUCUUGACCCAGUCUCUGGUCUCAUCCUGCAUCCUUCCCUGCCCCUAACUGAGGGACGGUGUCUGCAACAACUGUGGGAACCUGGGCACCAUCCCAGGCUUUGAGAUGAAGGACAAUGGGAUUCCUUUGGAAGUAGGUUUCUGGAUCUAGGGGGUUUCCAAGUUCGGCUUUCUGACAAGACUUCCUGCUAGACAUUCUGUCCCACCCUAGUUCCUCAUCUCUCAGUCCACAGGGCUAAAGCCACUUUGCAUGUUUACUAUCUGCACAGACUAAAGCCUCUAGGCACAGGUGUGUCUCACUAUUGUGUGGGCUGGAUGCUCCACAACCUUCCCUCUCCUCUCUGUCACAGCAGCCUGAUUUCCCACCUGUGGUGCAAAGCCAAGUUUAAAGAAGAUGCCUGGUGUGGCCAUCAGUCCCCUAACCUGGACCAGGGGUGGCUCUGUCCCAGCCCUGCUUUUGGUCCAGGCUCAGAGGGAGCCUAGGAACUUUUCUGAAGUCCCACAAAUCUUCCUUUGAAGAGGUAUGUUUGGAAAUAGCUUCCAGACUCCAAAGCCAGCAUCGUCUGUGACGCAGAGCCUUAGUCUCCUUAUUUGGUCUGAGGACAUUUUGCUGUUAAUUGAGAAAUUUCUUUUCUGCUCACUGCUUUCGGGCACCUUAGGAUUCAUGCUCAGGCUGCUGUGGAGGGCAUGGGAAAGGGAUAUUGGAAGCGCUGAGUCCCUGCCUACUGGCUCAGACUGAUGCUUUUAGAUCAAUUCUAGGUGUGCCUAGUUCUAGGCUCAGAGUUUAAUUGUUAGGCUGGAAAAGAAAAAUCUUCCUCCUGCAAUGUUAAACUUGGUCCUAUCGGCCAACCACACCAUCUGUAUCAUAUUAUGAACUAAUUAAAAAUAAACCUGUAAUUACCUUGUUAA